UUAUUUUUUGUUGUUUAUAAAUUAAUGGGGAUAAAAUAGCCACUAAGUGCUCUUUUAUCAAACAAUUUGUAAGGAACCAACUCCUCGAAGUGUCGUAAGCUAAAGGAUCCCUGAAAGCACGACCAAAAUAAUAAAGAGUUUAUCAAAUGGGACCGAGUCUGAGAUCGAGUCCAAGACCGACUCUAAGACCGAGUUCGAGAUAGAGUCCGGGAUCGAGUCCGAGGCCGACUCCGAAACCGAGUUCGAGACUGAAUUCGAGACAGAGUUUGAGAUCCAAGAUCGGGUCCGAGACCGAGUCCAAGGUCGAGUCCGAAGUCAAGUCUGAGAUCGGGUCCAAGGUCGAGUCUAAGAUUGAGUCCAAGACCGAGUCCGAAGUCGGGUCCAAAAUCAAGUCUGAGAUCGAGUCCGAGUGCUAAUAUAGGUUAAGGGGUGAAAGCCCAAAGCGUGUGUCUUCUAGGGGGGGGGGGGGGGCUGUAGGGGGUUCCAAAAGUAUAGUAAGGAUAGUGAGGUCCAUGAACCAGUCUUGAAGGAACUCUCCAGUGGUGCUUUAAAACUGACUUGAGAUUGAGAUUGGGGCCGAAGGGCCUUGGGUGGGAGUGAGCAUGGACGUGGGUGGUGCUAGAGGGGCCACCUAAGGAAGUGCUCAAGAACAACUCCCACUCCUGAAAGGGAAACCAAUUGUGGUGCUCUUGACUCAUGUAGAGUGGUGCCUCACUUGAGUAUUUUAUGGCUCAUUGGGCUUCACCCUUCCUAGGGGCUUGGGCCUUCCCUUCUGGAUGGAAGUGGGGGGGUAGAGGUACCCAUACCAGGCUGUUAGGCCAUAAUGUUUCGCCCUGGCAUCCCGAAACAAGUGUUGCAUCCAAGGCUUGGGAUUUAGAAGGUCUCAUAAUCAAGUCUUGUUGUACCAAGAGAUGUUAAGAACUUAGAGGCUUAGUGUGCUUAGCUGCUUGUGCUUGCAGGGAGUGUAGCCGAACCUUAAGUCCAAUUUAACCUGGGAAGAGGGAUUGGGAGAGAUUAGGGAAUCCGUGGAUAGAUAGCUAACACUUCAUUGUUUGUGCAGUGAGUAAUUGAAACCAAGUAGGACAAAGUAGGAGCUAGUGCAAUAGGUGGAUACCUAGGCAAAGGAACUUAGUUAAAGCCAAGGCAGUGUUGGUCGGAUAGACAAGGUAAGUUGGCAAAUUGGAAAGGAAAAAUUUGUAACUUACACAAUUACUCUUUUUUUAGUUAGCUUAAAAGGAUGAUCAUAGGAUGAAAUUUAAAUAUACUAUCAUUAUGGAUCCUUAAAACCUUGGGGGAUAAAUAAAAUAGCCACUACUUAUCAAAUAAUUGGCUUAAAAAUAUACUGUCAUUGUGGAUCCUUAAAACCUUAUUACUUAUCAAAUAAUUGACUUAAAAGGAGAGAAAUAAAAUAUGUUAUAUAUUUGUCCACCUUAAAGGGAAAUUAAAGAAAACUCAUGUACCAAGUUUGGUAAAAACUUCAAGGUAGAAAUAGAUACAUUGGAUUUUGUAUUAGAUGCAAUUCUUAAAUAAAACAAUCACUUAAUAAUGUUUUUCUUGAAAAAGUUGGAUAAAGCUCUUUGUCAUCAGUUAAAAACUACUUUUUAACCAUUAUUGCUACUCAGAGUCUUCAUGAAACCUCAAUAUUCACUAUUGACUGAUUUACAUGAGCAACAAUAUAUUUUGCUAGUCAGUUUUAUUCAAUGUUUAUAGAUUGAGUUUGAUAAAUGGAGAUGAGGUCUGUCUAUUACCACUUUUUAGACUGAAGCAGUAGCACAAGCCAAAGUGGUUUCUUGCAAAACACUGCUGAGGAAAUAGUGACAUCCACCACCAUGGUGGUGUUCCAACCUUGAGCUCCAAAUCCAAACCUCAUUUGCUCCAAGUCAUAUUCCACCCUCAAGACGAGCUGCCAGUACGUUCCUAUGACAUUCAGGUACAGUCCCAUGCUCUCAGACCUCCCAAUUUCCAUGCAAAUGGUAUUUUUCACGUUGCCUGAAUCAUCAAGCAAAACCAUGUUGGCACUUAGAUUCGAGCACCUGAUAAAAGAGGGGCUGCCGGCGGAGGAAAGUCUGCUGUUUGCCGAGAUGUUGUGUCAAAGCUCCAGGCCAAGAGCAUCUGCAAUGCUGCUUGACAUUUCCACCAGGUUAGUGGUGUAGCUUCUUAUUGCUUGUACCAGCUGAGUGUAGAAAUCCGAUGCCAACUAGCUCAAAAAGGUGGUGGUGUCAAUGACUGUUCAACCGGUUCCAUUGGAAAGAAAUCCCUGAAUUGGAACUUGAAACUUGUUAUUGUCGAUAGAAAUGGUAGCUAAGCUGAUGAAGUAGAGCUCAGCUGCUUGUGGGUUUGUGAUCAUGGGGCAUGGACGAAGAAAUGGAGGCGUUCCUGAGCUUGUAGUUACCAAUUACAAGAUUUCCACGGAAAGUAUCCAGAGGGCAAACAGUAAAUAAACUUGCUCCUGUACCCCAACGCGCUCAAUUGCCCCAUGAAUGACACGUUACUCUUGUCAAAACCCACAAAGCCAGACGUGUCGAGGUGUUCGAGCAGCCCCCACUGUCGCGGCCACAACCCAAGGACAAGUUGGCUGCGGAGUUCCACGGCUGAGAUCCAUGGCGAAGUUGAGUGCACCAUCGAGAAAGAAGUUGCCUUCUAAGGCUUGGCUGCUUUUUCGAGAAGGGGCAAAAACAGGUUAGUGUUGACAAUUGGCGUCCUGUUGGGCGGGAAGAAACCAACACCACGGGAGUCCUUGCACGCUGUCCUUGAAAGAAUCCUGCAAUACCAACAAGAGCACACUUGCUACACAAGAGCAAAUUGCAAAGGCGAAGGAGCUAUAUAUCUCGAGUUUACAAAUCAAACCAGACUGAAUUCUCUAUAUUGACUUGGUUUUGUAUAGUAAACUUGACAAGAUAAAGUUUUGAAGGCGUCUUACUUACAUCAGGAGAGGAGGAAAAGAAAACGCUUGAGUUGUAGAAGAUUUCCACAUGAAGACGUACCAGAAGAAGUGUCAAGGUUCAUGCUGACAUUACAUCCUGCUGUUCCAAAUCCAAUCUCCUGCUCUUCCAAUUCAAGUUCUCAAAGUGAUAAGUUAGAGUUUGUGGUGGUGGUGUGUCACCAUUUACAGAAACAUUGUAACAGAAAUCAUUGCCAAGCAGUGCUGCAGUUUCGUUGCUCGAUACUUGAGUAAGGUUGGAGUUGAGGUUUUGUAUGGCUUGCACAAGAGGGGUGUAGGAAUCUGGUGUGAAAUAGCUGAAUGCAAACAUGGAAUCAAUGAUCGUUCCUCCAGUUCCAUUUGCAAGAAUGCCUUUCACCAGAAAAGUCAACGUGUCGUUGAUAUUUAUGGAUCUCAAACGGAUGUAAUGCAACGCAGUGGAAUUUGGGUUUACGAUCAUUGGAGAGUAAGAAAGAGAGGAGUUCGAUGAUUUCUUAUAGUUGCCGAACACGAUUUUGCUACUAAACAUAUCAGAUGGAACACAAUAGAUAAACGUGCUUGUAUAGUCCAUUUCAUAUCCAAACUAUGUACCACUCUCAUCACACUAAAAGGAUAAUCGAGCCAUGGGAUUUUGGGUGUGUUUCAGGAUAGAGAGAUUGAAGAAUGCAAAGAGCUGCAUUGUUUUCUCUCUGCAAAGGUGUAUCGAUUGGCUCUUUGUGGAUGACACUGCUGCUGAAGUAUUGUAAUUAUUGCCAAGUAAUGUAUGCUAUUAAUCAUGAGAUGCUUUUUGAUUAUGAUUAUUGGACAUAGUUUUCGUGAGCAGAAUCAAUUUAGAGUGAGUAGUGUUACAAAAUAAACAGUCAAAAGUGUUUACAUGAGUUUACAAUGAGUUUCUUUAUUGUCUAACUUUUUAGCUUCUCCAAUGCUUGUUUUACAGCUUGAGUGCUUACAAUUUUGUUAAGUAAAUUUCUUAUUGUCUUUAAUUCAUAAUAUUUAUGCCCUUUUCUGUUUUUGAAUGUGUGGAUGACAAUUCCAUUGUUGGGUUGUAAGCAAAAAAGCUCUGGUUUGUUGUUCACAAUCACCAUGUGGUUGAGAUUCCAUCCUAAUCUUGAGAAAUCUUUUACAACUUUUUUCUAUCUGACUUCCUUUGUCAAAUACAAAUCUCUGUAGAGAUGAUGGGCAAAGAGAUUUCCAAUUGGGUCGAGCUUGUCCAAAAUUUUGUCUGUGUAUACCUUCAUUGCUCGAGUAAAAACUAUAAUCUUAUAUAUCUUACUCAUCUUUUUUAGAAAGUUAGCCUUUUUGCCAUAAGGUAGUGCUCUGAAAGAAUAGUUUUCCCAUUGAAGAGCUUAAGGGAUGCUAUGGCCUUUUGGGCAUGGAUUAGUGUAUUGUUUAUGUCCAACACAAGUUCUCUAAAGCUGGUGGUAAUAGCAAAAAAUCAUUUGACAACUUCACCUUUUUGUUCUUAUCUUUGGUGGUGAUAUUAAACAUUGCAAAACUCCACUCUCUAUACUUUUGCAGCCUCUUCAUAGCUAUAAAGAAAAAUAGAAAGAAUAUAAGCCCUAACUUAAUUGCAACGAAUCUUUAUAAAUUAAGUUAAUACACAUGUUGCUCGGCCAGAAUUAUGGAAGUAGAAAUUCAACAAUGAUGCCAACCCCAACACUGAGAGUCUUUAGGCAGCUCAAGCUCCACACUCAGGAUUUUUUUAGCAAGCAGCCAACAGCAAGACCCAAACAACACUCUCGAGCUCAAAGGGCAUGCUGUAGAUGAAUUCCUUAGCUUUGUCUAACUCUUUGGCCCUUGCAAACAUGUCAACAAGCCCACAGUAGUGUUUUCCUAUGGGUUCAACUCCAUAGUCCCAGAUCAUUAAUUAGAAGUAGUCCUGAGAGAUCUUCACCACGCCUGAGUGGCAGCAUGCCACAAGCAUGCUCAUAAAGACAAUGUGAUCAGGCAUUGUGCUCUCCUAGAUGGUCCUAUGGAAGGUUUCCAAGGCAUUGGUUACAUGCCUAGUGGAAGCAUACAUGGCCACCAUUGCAGUCCAUGAGACCAAGUCUUGCUCUAGCAUUCUCUCGAACCAAACUCAAGCUUCCAAGAGGAGUCCCUUGUGAGUGAAGCCUGCCACCAUUGCCAUCCAGUUGAUCACAUCAUGCUCCUCAGUCACCUGGAAGAGGCUCAUCACUUCUUGGAGGUGGCCGUUCCAGAGAUAGGCCAAGAGGAGCACUGUGCUCGCCGUCUUGCUAUCAUAAGGCAUUUUCAAGAUGGUUUCUAGAGGCAAGCAUAUGGAUCAUUGUCGUCCAAGAGAUCUUGUUGCGGUGAGCCAUCUUUUGGAAAGAAUCUAGUGCCUUGUACAAAUGCCCAUUCGCGGCAUAUGGGCAAAUCAUGGAGUUCCAAGCCACCACGUCUUUGUUUGGCAGCCUCUCAGACAAAGGUUUAGCCUUUCCCACGGAGCCGUUAGAUGCGUAGCCGUCAAUCAUAGCUGUAAAUGCCACCUCAUUAAAAUUCGGGGCAUCUUCAAAGAGAAUCUUUGCAUGCUCCAUAUGCCCUGCCUGGGCAUAUGCUGUGAUCAUGGUCGUCCAUGUUACUACAUUCCUUGUGGGCAUUCUAUCAAAGAAAUCUUUAGCUUCAUCCAGCCCCUGGUUCUGGUAGUGGCCUUGUACCAUGGCCGUCCACGCCACCACGUCCUUUUGGGGCAGCUAAUAGAAACACCUCACGCGCGCGAGAGAGAUGCCCGUUAUGGGACGAUCAUGGCGGUGCUAGAAACGAGGGUUUGCUCAGGCAUAGAGUGGAAUACCGCCUCCGCCUCGCCGAGAUUGCCACUCUGCGAGUACAUCUCGAUGAUCGUGUUCCAGGUGAUGGAAUUCUUUGGCAGGGAUGCGAUCGAAGAGCUGCUUGGCGCGCUACACGUCCCCGGCCGAGAUCAUGGCGUUAAUCUCCUGCCGCGGCAUGCUUUCCAGGACCGAUCGCGCCUGCUCCAGGUCGUAGUUGGGAAUGUAGGCCUGGAGGGUGAGAUUCCAAGAGAAGAGAUUGCGAUCCGAGGUAGAAUCGAAGACCGAUCGCGCUUCCUCCAGGCAGCCGCAGCGGCCAUACAUCUGGACGAGGAGAUUUCGCAGGAAGACGCUGUUAUUGUGGUCGCUGUGAAGGAUCUGGGCGUGGAUCCGGCGGCCAUCGUUCGGAUUGUUGCAAGAUCUGACGAGGGCGGCAAGCUCUGGACGCCAAGAACGCGCAUCGCAUCAUGGCCGUUGGAUGAUGGGGCGUCCGACCUGGCAGGUUCUAGCUACCAGCCACGAAGUUUUCAUGGCACGCGGCGAGAACUCCAACUCCAAAUGCCGGAGGCAACGACACAAUUAAUUUCCAUCGUUUCUUGUGGCUUGGAUGGAUUUCUCUUGCUGCGAGUUCAGCAAGUUGUCCGAUGAAUGACUUGUUUGUCUUUGCAAAUCCCACCAGGCCUGAUGUAUUGAUAAUUCCCAGCCAUGUCGUGCUUUCUCGACCACAUCCAAGUGACAUUCUAAGACUUUUAUUGCCUCUAGUUUUACGUGGAGUUUUCAUGGUUACAACAUCUCACUGGCUGAGGAGUAUUUGGGGCUGUAUAAGCAAGUUGUGGAUGAAGAUCCGCAAGCGUUUGUGGAGAAAUCAGGGAUCUCGAGCAGAAAGGAGAGGUGCAAGGAAUUCUAGUGUAUGAUGUGGAUGAUACCGGUGAAGAGCGGGGUUGUGCUGCAUGGGAGGAGUUCCCAAAUUGAGAUUCAUGGCGCCGUUAUCUACAUAGAAACUCGUCUCAAGGCCUUCCGUCUCCUCCUCUCAAAAACUCGGUGGAGUUGGCUGGAGUUCGUCUUCGCUCGAGAUCUUCUAUAUCUGCUUGAUUUAAUUGGUAACACACAAACAUGGCAACUUAAUUUAGUUUUACAAAUAUUAUUUCUUUUUAUUCCAUGCUUAGAAACUUUAUACAAACGGAAAUCUGUUGCAAGAAGAGCAACUACAACAACACAAGUACUAGGUAGAGAUGGACAGCUGCUUCUAGAAUACUACUCAUGUCGCAGCUCCAUCGUAUCUAGAUAGUAGCUUUCACUUGUGGCAGCUGCAAUCGUUGCAGGAGCAGUUUGGCCCACACUUGCAUCCAUUCUCCUCUCGCGACAUGACAGAUUCCCCAGAGAUUCCAGACGAGGCGGAGACAAUGCUGCUCAAGCUGUGUCACACGACCUCGUGAUUAGCCAAACCAGCCGCCAAAGAUUUCCCAAAUUUGAAAUUCGAAAAAAAGUGCACGAACC
rnacentral:lncRNA from 1 species